rnacentral:rRNA from 1 species
UACGUAGGGGGCAAGCGUUGUCCGGAAUCAUUGGGCGUAAAGAGCGUGUAGGCGGCUCGGUAAGUCCGCUGUGAAAGUCCAGGGCUCAACCCUGGAAUGCCGGUGGAAACUGUCGAGCUAGAGUCCGGAAGAGGCGAGUGGAAUUCCUGGUGUAGCGGUGAAAUGCGCAGAUAUCGGGAGGAACACCAAUGGCGAAGGCAGCUCGCUGGGACGUUACUGACGCUGAGACGCGAAAGCGUGGGGAGCAAACAGG